rnacentral:rRNA from 1 species
ACGCUGGCGGCACGCCUAACACAUGCAAGUCGAACGAAGUAGCAAUACUUAGUGGCAGACGGGUGAGUAACAUGUAGGUAUCUGCCCUUUGGCCUGGAAUAACACGAGGAAACUUGUGCUAAUACCGGAUAAGUCUUUACGGAGAAAGCUUUAUGCACCAUUGGAUGAGCCUGCACUUGAUUAGUUUGUUGGUGGGGUAAUGGCCUACCAAGACUGUGAUCAAUAGCUGAUUUGAGAGGAUGAUCAGCCACAUUGGGACUGAGACACGGCCCAAACUCCUACGGGAGGCAGCAGUGGGGAAUCUUGCACAAUGGAGGAAACUCUGAUGCAGCGAUGCCGCGUGAGUGAAGAAGGCCUUUGGGUUGUAAAGCUCUUUCGUCGGGGAAGAAAAUGACUGUACCCGAAUAAGAAGGUCCGGCUAACUUCGUGCCAGCAGCCGCGGUAAUACGAAGGGACCUAGCGUAGUUCGGAAUUACUGGGCUUAAAGAGUUCGUAGGUGGUUGAAAAAGUUAGUGGUGAAAUCCCAGAGCUUAACUCUGGAACUGCCAUUAAAACUUUUCAGCUAGAGUAUGAUAGAGGAAAGCAGAAUUUCUAGUGUAGAGGUGAAAUUCGUAGAUAUUAGAAAGAAUACCAAUUGCGAAGGCAGCUUUCUGGAUCAUUACUGACACUGAGGAACGAAAGCAUGGGUAGCGAAGAGGAUUAGAUACCCUCGUAGUCCAUGCCGUAAACGAUGUGCGUUAGACGUUGGAAAUUUAUUUUCAGUGUCGCAGCGAAAGCGAUAAACACACCGCCUGGGGAGUACGACCGCAAGGUUAAAACUCAAAUGAAUUGACGGGGACCCGCACAAGUAGUGGAGCAUGUGGUUUAAUUCGAAGAUACGCGCAGAACCUUACCAACACUUGACAUGUUCGUCGCGACUCUAAGAGAUUAGAGUUUUCGGUUCGGCCGGACGAAACACAGGUGCUGCAUGGCUGUCGUCAGCUCGUGUCGUGAGAUGUUGGGUUAAGUCCCGCAACGAGCGCAACCCUCACUUUUAGUUGCCAUCAUUAAGUUGGGCACUCUGAAAGAACUGCCAGUGAUAAGCUGGAGGAAGGUGGGGAUGACGUCAAGUCCUCAUGGCCCUUACGUGUUGGGCUACACACGUGCUACAAUGGUAUCUACAACAGGAAGCAAGACUGCGAAGUUAAGCAAAUCCCUAAAAGAUACCUCAGUUCGGAUUGCACUCUGCAACUCGAGUGCAUGAAGCUGGAAUUACUAGUAAUCGUGGAUCAGCGUGCCACGGUGAAUGCGUUCCCGGGUCUUGUACACACCGCCCGUCA